CUUGCUCUCGGGUGACGAGCGGCGGACGGGUGAGUAAUGUCUGGGAAACUGCCUGAUGGAGGGGGAUAACUACUGGAAACGGUAGCUAAUACCGCAUAACGUCGCAAGACCAAAGUGGGGGACCUUCGGGCCUCAUGCCAUCAGAUGUGCCCAGAUGGGAUUAGCUAGUAGGUGGGGUAACGGCUCACCUAGGCGACGAUCCCUAGCUGGUCUGAGAGGAUGACCAGCCACACUGGAACUGAGACACGGUCCAGACUCCUACGGGAGGCAGCAGUGGGGAAUAUUGCACAAUGGGCGCAAGCCUGAUGCAGCCAUGCCGCGUGUGUGAAGAAGGCCUUCGGGUUGUAAAGCACUUUCAGCGGGGAGGAAGGCGGUGAGGUUAAUAACCUCAUCGAUUGACGUUACCCGCAGAAGAAGCACCGGCUAACUCCGUGCCAGCAGCCGCGGUAAUACGGAGGGUGCAAGCGUUAAUCGGAAUUACUGGGCGUAAA
rnacentral:rRNA from 1 species